rnacentral:rRNA from 1 species
AUUGAACGCUGGCGGCAUGCUUUACACAUGCAAGUCGAACGGUAACAGGUUAAGCCGACGAGUGGCGAACGGGUGAGUAAUGCAUCGGAACGUGCCCGAUCGUGGGGGAUAACGCAGCGAAAGCUGCGCUAAUACCGCAUACGAUCUGAGGAUGAAAGCGGGGGACCGUAAGGCCUCGCGCGAUCGGAGCGGCCGAUGUCAGAUUUGGUAGUUGGUGGGGUAAAGGCUCACCAAGCCAACGAUCUGUAGCGGGUCUGAGAGGACGACCAGCCACACUGGGACUGAGACAAGGCCCAGACUCCUACGGGAGGCAGCAGUGGGGAAUUUUGGACCAUGGGCGAAAGCCUGAUCCAGCAAUGCCGCGUGCAGGAAGAAGGCCUUCGGGUUGUAAACUGCUUUUGUACGGAGCGAAAAGGUUCUCUCUAAUACAGAGGGCUCAUGACGGUACCGUAAGAAUAAGCACCGGCUAACUACGUGCCAGCCGCCGCCGUAA